AUUGAACGCUGGCGGCAUGCCUUACACAUGCAAGUCGAACGGCAGCACGGGUGCUUGCACCUGGUGGCGAGUGGCGAACGGGUGAGUAAUACAUCGGAACAUGUCCUGUAGUGGGGGAUAGCCCGGCGAAAGCCGGAUUAAUACCGCAUACGAUCUACGGAUGAAAGCGGGGGACCUUCGGGCCUCGCGCUAUAGGGUUGGCCGAUGGCUGAUUAGCUAGUUGGUGGGGUAAAGGCCUACCAAGGCGACGAUCAGUAGCUGGUCUGAGAGGACGACCAGCCACACUGGGACUGAGACACGGCCCAGACUCCUACGGGAGGCAGCAGUGGGGAAUUUUGGACAAUGGGCGAAAGCCUGAUCCAGCAAUGCCGCGUGUGUGAAGAAGGCCUUCGGGUUGUAAAGCACUUUUGUCCGGAAAGAAAUCCUUGGCUCUAAUACAGUCGGGGGAUGACGGUACCGGAAGAAAAAGCACCGGCUAACUACGUG
rnacentral:rRNA from 1 species